rnacentral:snoRNA from 1 species
AUCCUUUUGCGGUUCAUAAACAUGAUGAAUGAGUGUUCACGUGUUUGUGUGAGAUGUGCCUCCCUCAAACCUUGUUACAAUGCCGGCCCAUUACCCAUCUGACG